UACGUAGGGUGCGAGCGUUAAUCGGAAUUACUGGGCGUAAAGCGUGCGCAGGCGGUUCGCUAAGACAGAUGUGAAAUCCCCGGGCUUAACCUGGGAACUGCAUUUGUGACUGGCGGGCUAGAGUAUGGCAGAGGGGGGUAGAAUUCCACGUGUAGCAGUGAAAUGCGUAGAGAUGUGGAGGAAUACCCGAUGGCGAAGGCAGCCCCCUGGGCCCAAUACUGACGC
rnacentral:rRNA from 1 species